CCUGAAAUAGCUUAAUGGUGGAGCAUAGUCUUGCCAAGGCUUAGUUUGAGGGUUCCAGUCCCUCCUUCCGCU
rnacentral:tRNA from 1 species